rnacentral:rRNA from 1 species
GUAGGUUGUACUAGAAGUAGCUGGGCUAACCCUUUGGGAGGCAAGUUACCACGGUAUGAUUUAUAAUUGGGGUGAAGUCGUAACAAGGUAGCUGUAGGUGAACCUGCAGAAGGAUCA